UGAGGAAUAUUGGUCAAUGGGGGGAACCCUGAACCAGCCAUCCCGCGUGCAGGAAGACAGUUCUAUGGAUUGUAAACUGCUUUUCUUGGGGAAGAAUAAUGACGACGUGUCGUCAGAUGACGGUACCCGAGGAAUAAGCAUCGGCUAACUCCGUGCCAGCAGCCGCGGUAAUACGGAGGAUGCAAGCGUUAUCCGGAUUUAUUAGGUUUAAAGGGUGUGUAGGCGGAUGUAUAAGUCAGUGGUGAAAGUCAGCAGCUUAACUGUAGAAUUGCCAUUGAUACUGUAUGUCUUGAGUGUGGUUGAGGUAUGCGGAAUGUGUAAUGUAGCGGUGAAAUGCUUAGAUAUUACACAGAACACCGAUUGCGAAGGCAGCUUGCUGGGCCAUUACUGACGCUGAUGCACGAAAGCUUGGGGAUCGAACA
rnacentral:rRNA from 1 species